GCACGCUUUCCCUCGUGAGACCAGAUGGCUCCGGAAUGAAGCUGGAACUCUGGAAUUUCACAGACUGACCUGCCAAUAUGGGUGCAGCAGCGCACGGAUCUGGUCUGCGUUGGAAAUGUACUUGUCACUCGGAAAGGCAGCUCUAGGACACCGGCCUUAGCAGGAUGUGCAGACAGCGCCAGCCCUCCUCCCCAGCAAGGGCUGCUGUGAAGACGAAAGGCGAUCCUGGAGAGGCGAGGGUUUCGCCAACCAUCCGAGGCUGUGUAAUGCUGUGGUUACCCCUCCAAGUCAGAGCUCUUACCUGCACAGUGAAGUGGAGGACGAAGACUUCCGGCGUGCAAAGGAAAGAGGGACUAAGCCCCAGCAGACCUCAGGAGAAGGAAACCUCCUGGCUACUUUGGCACAUGUCCACAGUCAGUCUAAGAGAAGCAAGCUGA
rnacentral:lncRNA from 1 species